rnacentral:lncRNA from 1 species
UGGUAAUCCAAUGUAUAAGCAAUGGACUGUUUUAUUCUUGGUGCUUUCAAGACCUGAUGCUUUGUUUUGAACAGGUUGAUACAUCUAGGAGUGAAAUACAUCACCGCUUUCCCUGCUCCCGCCGCCAUUAAAAUUGUGUUUGGCAUCUGACCACCAAGAUACAGAUAUUUCCUAGACUGUUUUGCAGCUAGGUACUUAGAAGUUUUUCUAAGUUAUUUAAACUUCUCACCACACAAAAUCUGGAUUUGUAUCUGUCACGUAGUAAUUGCUUGAUAAAUCAUUUCUCUUUCCUCUGGAGAAAAAUAUCUGCUUUCUUUAAAAUAAAUGUUCCAUCCAUGCAGCUAAGCAGCUAAGGACACGAACAGCCACUGAUACAGGCCAACUCAUCAGUAGAUUAUUGAGAUUUCAUACUAGGACCUUUCAUUGGCUGAACAAAGACAAAGACAGAAAUCAAGGAAGGUCAAAGAAGCAGUCAGUUUUCUGGCACCCAAAGUUGUUGGAGAAGGGUACAGAGUCGGUAAAUAAGUCAUAUGACAGACAGGCAGUAUUUUCUUAUUUUAAUAACAAGUUUAAAAAUCCCACUUCUUGUACUUACCUUCUGUCUGACGUCAUCAGUAUUUUAAAAUGCCAACUGGGAUCAAGUUCAACACUGCAUUACUGAAGAAUCCAGAUUAUCUACAUUUCAAGUGCCAAAUGAAAGAAAGAACCCAGAAAAUAAAACAAUAUGAUGAUAACAGUAAAAUUUUUUAAAAUGAAAUUUAUGGUCUAAAUCCUGAUCAUUAAUGGUUAUUUCAUAUUGAAGCAAUGAGG